GCUUGCUUCAGCCAACAUAUACUAAAAUUGGAAUGAUACAGAGAAGAUUACCAUGGUCCCUUCACAAGGGUGACAUGAAAAUUUGUAAAGUGCUCCAUAAUUUU
ensembl:snRNA U6 U6 spliceosomal RNA